GAAAUCUCUGAUUGGAACUCGGCAACGGUAUUAGCUCCCAACUCGAAGACACUCUUUCUCUUCCCAAGAGGCACAGGAGGCGAGGACAGAUGAGCAUCAGGAUGCUUUCUUCGAUGCUCUAUCAUUGCGAUUGGAAGAGUUGUUCAAACGUCUGUUGCUUCUGCGCUUCCGAUUUUUCGACGCUCGAAACAGGAUUCUUUGCAGAAUGCUCGAUGAUUUGUACGAGGAUUUUAACUGGUUUCUCGUUUGAUUACCAGCGACGGCUUUGCUCUUCGGCGUUAAAUGCUGCGUUGAUUUCCUAAAACAUGAAUGAAACCAGUCAGUAAGAUUUAAGACAUCCACGAAACUCUGGAUAAAAAGGAGCAUUUAUUUUCUCUUCUUGCAUUCUAAUGGAAGUUAAAUGAUUAUAGGAUUAUGUACAAGUUGUUGAAUUUAUAUUCUAUUUAUAAUUGGUAAAACGUUUCGUUGUUGAUAUUAGUAUUUCAUUAAGAAAUAAAUUAUUAAUUUC